rnacentral:rRNA from 1 species
AACGAACGCUGGCGGCAUGCCUAACACAUGCAAGUCGAACGAAGGCUUCGGCCUUAGUGGCGCACGGGUGCGUAACGCGUGGGAAUCUGCCCUUUGCUUCGGAAUAACAGUUAGAAAUGACUGCUAAUACCGGAUGAUGUCGCAAGACCAAAGAUUUAUCGGCAAAGGAUGAGCCCGCGUAGGAUUAGCUAGUUGGUGGGGUAAAGGCCUACCAAGGCGACGAUCCUUAGCUGGUCUGAGAGGAUGAUCAGCCACACUGGGACUGAGACACGGCCCAGACUCCUACGGGAGGCAGCAGUGGGGAAUAUUGGACAAUGGGCGAAAGCCUGAUCCAGCAAUGCCGCGUGAGUGAUGAAGGCCUUAGGGUUGUAAAGCUCUUUUACCCGGGAUGAUAAUGACAGUACCGGAAGAAUAAGCUCCGGCUAACUCCGUG